UACGGGGGGGGCAAGCGUUGUUCGGAAUUACUGGGCGUAAAGGGCUCGUAGGUGGCCAACUAAGUCAGACGUGAAAUCCCUCGGCUUAACCGGGGAACUGCGUCUGAUACUGGAUGGCUUGAGAUUGGGAGAGGGAUGCGGAAUUCCAGGUGUAGCGGUGAAAUGCGUAGAUAUCUGGAGGAACACCGGUGGCGAAGGCGGCAUCCUGGAUUGGUAUUGACGCUGAGGAGCGAAAGCUAGGGGAGCAAACGGG
rnacentral:rRNA from 1 species